AGCGAACGCUGGCGGUAGGCCUAACACAUGCAAGUCGAACGGCAGCACAGGAGAGCUUGCUCUCUGGGUGGCGAGUGGCGGACGGGUGAGGAAUACAUCGGAAUCUACUCUGUCGUGGGGGAUAACGUAGGGAAACCUACGCUAAUACCGCAUACGACCUACGGGUGAAAGCAGGGGAUCUUCGGACCUUGCGCGAUUGAAUGAGCCGAUGUCGGAUUAGCUAGUUGGCGGGGUAAAGGCCCACCAAGGCGACGAUCCGUAGCUGGUCUGAGAGGAUGAUCAGCCACACUGGAACUGAGACACGGUCCAGACUCCUACGGGAGGCAGCAGUGGGGAAUAUUGGACAAUGGGCGCAAGCCUUAUCCAGCCAUACCGCGUGGGUGAAGAAGGCCUUCGGGUUGUAAAGCCCUUUUGUUGGGAAAGAAAUCCAGCUGGCUAAUACCCGGUUGGGAUGACGGUACCCAAAGAAUAAGCACCGGCUAACUUCGUGCCAGCCGCCGCGGUAA
rnacentral:rRNA from 1 species